UACGUAGGGUGCGAGCGUUGUCCGGAAUUAUUGGGCGUAAAGGGCUCGUAGGCGGUCUGUUGCGUCAGGAGUGAAAACUCGGGGCUUAACCCCGAGCCUGCUUCUGAUACGGGCAGACUAGAGGUAUGCAGGGGAGAACGGAAUUCCUGGUGUAGCGGUGAAAUGCGCAGAUAUCAGGAGGAACCCCGGUGGCGAAGGCGGCAUCCUGGACCAAUACUGACGCUGAGGAGCGAAGUCCAGGGGAGCAAACGGG
rnacentral:rRNA from 1 species